UCCCUAGUGGCUCGAUGGUAAAGAAUCUACCUGCAAUGCAGGAGACCCCAGGUUCAAUCCCUGGGUCGGGAA
rnacentral:tRNA from 1 species